rnacentral:rRNA from 1 species
CAGCCGCCGCGGUAAUACGUAGGGUGCGAGCGUUAAUCGGAAUUACUGGGCGUAAAGCGUGCGCAGGCGGUUUUGUAAGACAGGCGUGAAAUCCCCGGGCUCAACCUGGGAACUGCAUUUGUGACUGCAAGGCUAGAGUGCGGCAGAGGGAGAUGGAAUUCCGCGUGUAGCAGUGAAAUGCGUAGAUAUGCGGAGGAACACCGAUGGCGAAGGCAAUCUCCUGGGCCUGCACUGACGCUCAUGCACGAAAGCGUGGGGAGCAAACAGGAUUAGAUACCCCCGUAGUCCCUGUCUCUUAUAC